GACUCUGAGUGGUGGAUCAUUCGGCUCGUGUGUCGAUGAAGAACGCAGCUAUCUGCGAGAAUUAAUGUGAAUUGCAGGACACAUUGAUCAUCGACACUUCAAACUCAAUUUGCGGCCCCAGGUUACUCCUGGGGCUCUGACUGUCCAUCGCCC